rnacentral:lncRNA from 1 species
AACUCCACCAGAAGAGGAAGCUUCUUCUUCAGUAGUUCUUCUCAACUUCCGUCGAACCAUGGCUUCCAAAGACAGAGAGGAGUCGACAAGCUAAGGAAAAUCAGAUAGCGAAGUAGACGCAGCAGUUUAAGAAACGUGUGCUUGGCUGCAUCGCGAUGGCUCUUGCAAGUAGAAGAACGUUACUGCUUGGCUGCAUCACGACGGUCCUUCUGGUGAUCAUCGCCUUCUACUCGUCCGACCCUACUGUAAUGGCCGAUGCUCAACGCCUCCUAGAACCAAGUAAGUAAGCAAAUACAAUCAAUCGAUAUGUGACCCGAAAAUCAUUUUAAUUCUAACGAACAGAGAGGAGUCAUAAUUUUAUUGUGCUAUUGUUGUUUUCAAAUCAGGUGAGGAUCGGAGUAGUAAUCGAAAAGAGGGUGAAUUUUUACAGCAGUCCAAACUAGCUCUUAAUUAAUAGGACUACUUCAAGCUCGGGGCCCAUGGAAAGGGACCGGGUCACUGAUAACUAGCCUUAAAAUGAAAAACAUUUCAGUUUCAUAUGGUGUAAUUCUCCCCUCUAAUUUUCAAUAUAAUCUUCCACAAGAAAGUAAAACGUUUAUCUAUAUACUUUCUAUUUUAUACGAAUCGAAAGAUUUUUAAUCGAAAAUAAAUGUCACAAAUUGUUGUAUAAAGGCUAGGGCUUCGGGGCAGACUUCUCUGAGGCUUAGUAGCUAGCUAGCUAGGUCCAAAGCUUAGGGAAAACGUGGAAGUAACUAGCGGCGACAAAAAAGUCAGGGAAGCAGCCUAUUAAUCAAAACCUCAAUAGCCACCAUCCACACGCGUUGCUAACUUUGACUAUUUUUCUUUUUUUCUUUAACGAAAUUUUAAUUUCAAACGAAUUAAAGUAUAAAUAAGAGCAUUAUAAAUGUAAAACAUACAGUAUUAAUCACGUCUUUUCAAUUGUUCGGAAUAAAUUUAUCUUGUAUUGAUAAAAUUGUUUUUUCAAAUGGUAAAGACAAUUCGAAUCCACUGACAGCUAGUAAAAUUUUAUAUAUCAACCAACAGCUGAGCACUCCCAAAAUACCAGUAAAGAGAAGAGUUACGUUUGUAGAUGAUGUUGACAAUAUUGAUGCAAUCCAAGAAGACAACUUUUGACCACGUUUAACGUUUCUUUGUGGAAAAAUCACCAAAGAAGACUCUUCUCCUUCUCCUCCAUGACUAUAUAUGCAUGGUACAACACAAGCUAUAGCAUAUUCUACAAACAAACUACGUACUUAAAUUGGAGAACACUGUAAUAACAUAACAAUGGCUGAAAGAAGUGGAAGAAUGUUGGCACUUAUUAUGAUCAGCUUGCUCCUACUACUUGCUUUCUCAUCCCAGUCUACCGUAUUGGCGAUACCCAGUAAGUAGUUAUUAAAUCCUUUCAAGAUCAGUGUAUCCUGGCCUUCUCGAUCAUAUCGUUUCCCUUUGCUUGAGUUUCAUUAUAUACUUAUUAGCAGAUGAAAAGGGUGGUGAACAUGGGACUGGGACGGCGAGUACUCUACAUCAGCAUCGAAUUCUCCGACUAUCGAAAAUCGAAGUAGGCGGAAGUAAAUCAAAGCCAAGUGGCCAUGGACAAGGUCAUCGAUAGCUAGCUAUGAUCAUUAAUUGAGCAGAAGAAGCAGGAUUGAGAGAGAUGCAAUGAGCUCAAUCAACUUAAUUAUUAAUUCUAGAGCUAGCAGUAUUUCCAAUGUAAUAUAUCAAGUUUCUAUAGUUUGGAUCGAUUACUUAGAAUUACUCCAACUUGAUUGAUUGAUUCAUUGCUGGGAGUUAGACAUUACAAAUAAAUUCAUAUACAUCAUUUAUUCAUUUGGAUCAUCUUAUCUGGAAAAGCGAUUGAUCAUUAUUUUUAUAUGAUUUGGAGCAGUAUGAAAAGGACAAAAUUGACCCUGGAUCAGGGUCUGAGAAGCCCUAACUUAGCCCAGUUCCAGAUCCAUAAAAUCAGGCCAUAACCAAAAGCCCAGCCCAUAACUCCAUAGGAGCCAAUUGGAUAUUUGGCGAGAAUAUUCUCCAUUUACCCCCCUCCUGCGCUGACACUAUCCC